rnacentral:rRNA from 1 species
CAGUAGCCGCGGGAAUACGUAGGUCCCGAGCGUUGUCCGGAUUUAUUGGGCGUAAAGCGAGCGCAGGCGGUUAGAUAAGUCUGAAGUUAAAGGCUGUGGCUUAACCAUAGUACGCUUUGGAAACUGUUUAACUUGAGUGCAAGAGGGGAGAGUGGAAUUCCAUGUGUAGCGGUGAAAUGCGUAGAUAUAUGGAGGAACACCGGUGGCGAAAGCGGCUCUCUGGCUUGUAACUGACGCUGAGGCUCGAAAGCGUGGGGAGCAAACAGGAUUAGAUACCCCAGUGGUCCCUGUCUCUUAUACC